CCAGAGAUUGCAGUGAUCAGGUCAUCGCUCUAUUCCCACUGAGUGAAGAUUGAUCAGACAACACUGAGCUGAAGGAUAGGACAGAGACACCCGCUUUAAGAUCACUGUGUCCUGGUGUGUGUGUGUGUGUGUGUGUGUGUGUGUAUAAAUGUGAGUGUGUGUGUGUGUGUGUGUGUGUGUGUGUGUGUGUGUGUGUGUGUGUGUGAGAGAUUGGACCGGAGUUCUUUUGCUGGUGCGAAAGCACGGUUCCAACCAUUACCUGAGGGGAUUCUGGCGAUGCGAAGAUACCUUAAGCUAUUUGUUCCACACAGGUGUGAAACCCUAUCCUGUCCAGCACACACACAUUUGUACAUAUACACACACACACACACACACACACACACACACACACAUGCAGGGAAACAGCGACUCACAUCCUAAUCACUGAUUGGAAGGAAAGUGCGUGUCGUGGAGGACACUGGCCCUGUCUGUCUGUCUUUACUCACCAUGGCAACACUUUCUACUGCGCAGGCCCUGCAGCAAAAUCAGCCGUCUGCACGCUGCAUGCAAACAAGUCCUGAACACACACACACAAACACACACACGCACAAACACACACAUACACACUCCAGGAUGCUUUGCUAAACAUAUUGUGCAGUUUUUUUCUACAACUCAACAGUCAGUUAUGCACGGUUUACAAAAAAGAAAUGCCUUGCUCUGUGGCAGCAAUGAACAAAAAUUAAACACUUUUACUUUUCCCGUUCUUAAAAAUGUCGGCGAGCAGCAAAGACAUUCUUAGUUUCUAGAGUUUAGUGCUUGUCACCUAAAAUUUAAAAGUAGAAAUGAUUGAAAAUUAAUAUAAUAUUGUUCCAACUAUCUGCUUCAACCAAUGUCCUUUCAUGUGAGUCUAUGGUGAUGCAGACUUGUUGCUGGUGAAUACAAGCUGGUGGAUAUGAGCUGGUCCCAGUGGAACUCUGACCAAUCACUGCUGUCAUCUUUCAGAGCAUAAAACAAUCAGAGGGCAGGUGGGCUGUGGGAAGGAGUGCCGUGCACUCUGCGUUGAUAUUCUACUGGCGUCCGGCUCGCCAGGCGCCCUACAUAGCAGGCGCUCCCUCUGGCAAUGCUUGGCUUGGCUCUGGGCUCGACGAUCUUGACGCAGCCUCUCCACACGCUUGCACGUGCACCUACACUCACACGAAGCCACGUGAAUACAGACACACAUUUCCUACAAAGGCGCACGGGAUCAGACGCAUGAAUUGAAGCAAACUGGAAUAUUCAAAGACGCGAAAGCAGGCCUGCAGACACCAGGCUCGAGACACAACCAUAUUUCAUGGUGCCGUGAAUUGCUGCAGUGGCUGUGUGCCGGAGCUGGCUGCUUUGGCCUGGACAGAAAGAGAGAGAGAGAGAGAGAGAGAGAGAGAGAGAGAGAGAGAGAGAGAGAGAGAGAGAGAGAGAGAGAGAGAGAGAGAGGGGAUAAUUGAAGUAAGCAAGAAAAGUCGAAGCCAACAAAGUCAGUCGUGUAGAUACAUAAAGACUGGGAGACAAAGGAAAGGGAAGAGCAAACCAGGCAGACUUAGAGAAAGGAGUGCGAGGCAGAGGUGUGAUAUAACCGUGGUGCGGUAAUGUGUGUGUUAUACCCCAUGGAGCAGGACGGAGACUGCUUUAAUGAAAGCACAGGAAGAGGGCAGCAGCUGGUGGCGUGUGCUUGAGCCGUGAGGAUAAGACCGUCGAGCUGGGCUCGCCAGGGUCUCUCUCCAAGCCCACGCUCUCUCUCACACACACACACACACACACACACACACACACACACACACACACACACAGACUGAGCUCCUUUGUCCGCUCUGCUGCCACCCAUGCUGGAUGAAGGCCCAGGCCGCGGGGGCCUGGCUGAGUGCAUCAGAGCCGGCAGCAGCGGCCCAAACCCAGACCAAACCUAAAGCCGGCACCGAUGCCACUGCGGCAGCACCAGAAACAAACAAGAAGCAGGAGCCGACAUGGCAGAAGAAGGAUUAGGCAGCGCAGGCAAGGACGAAGGUGGAUGUUGAAAGCAUUAGUCAUGGAGGAGAUGCUAUAAAUAAGCAUGCUAGGAGCCAUUAGCUUUGCGCCAUUGUGGUUUGGGGGUACCUAAGCUUGAGUUCACACAGCUGCACACAAUUUCCUCAAUAAAACGUAUUACAGUGUUCGUUUUAUCAAUAUUAA